rnacentral:rRNA from 1 species
GAUGAACGCUGGCGGCGUGCCUAAUACAUGCAAGUCGAGCGAACAGAUGAGAAGCUUGCUUCUCUGAUGUUAGCGGCGGACGGGUGAGUAACACGUGGGUAACCUACCUAUAAGACUGGGAUAACUCCGGAAAACCGGGGCUAAUACCGGAUAAUAUUUUGAACCGCAUGGUUCAAUAGUGAAAGACGGUUUCGGCUGUCACUUAUAGAUGGACCCGCGCCGUAUUAGCUAGUUGGUAAGGUAAUGGCUUACCAAGGCGACGAUACGUAGCCGACCUGAGAGGGUGAUCGGCCACACUGGAACUGAGACACGGUCCAGACUCCGACGGGAGGCAGCAGUAGGGAAUCUUCCGCAAUGGGCGAAAGCCUGACGGAGCAACGCCGCGUGAGUGAUGAAGGUCUUCGGAUCGUAAAACUCUGUUGUUAGGGAAGAACAAAUUUGUUAGUGACUGAACAAGUCUUGACGGUACCUAACCAGAAAGCCACGGCUAACUACGUGCCAGCAGCCGCGGUAA